rnacentral:tRNA from 1 species
CAAGAAAAGAAGGGCUUGAACCUUCGACCUUUGGUUUUGGAAACCAAUAUUCUACCAACUAAACUAUUUUCUU